CGGCCCAGCGCUGUGGGGAGCGACUUUCGGCCGUGCGGGGUUUGCCCGGCUGCCACUGCCGUCCCAGUCUCCCGAAGUGGAACCCGGCUUGGAGUAGAACGCGACCCCUUGCCGGUGGGCGCAGGCGAUCGACCUGGUGUGUCCUUGGGCACCACCCACACACUGCAGGAUGUUGCUGCCCCCCUUACCUGACAAUGUUCAUGGAGCCAGGGUUAUAGUCAUUUUCGUUCACACCCAUGACGAACGUUGGUGCAUCUGGCGAGGGUGCAGAGAUGAUCACGCGUUGAGCACCUGCCGAGAUGUGGUCCUGGGAGGAGGCGCAGGUGUCAGGUGCUUCUGGCGCCAUCGUCCCCCUAGCCGGCCCUGGGCACGCCUCCCCCACUUACCGAAGCUGCCUCUAUGGAGAGGUACAUGCCUGUGGACUCCACCACGUAGGGGCUCCCAACAGCCCUCCAGGGGAUCUGUUUGGGCUCCUUGCUGCGGGGUAGUGGAGGGCUGAGUCAGUUUCCCCUGUGUGGGCCCCCGCUUCAGAGUCCACGGCCUUCAUCAUUUGAACGGCUGAGCAUGUGCCUUCCUGCAGGUGCCGGCCCGCCUUCAACCACCUGCAUCCCCCAUCCCACACACCUACCUGCCCCAGAUGGGCCGCACCCUGCUGGCCUUGCUUUUCACCACUGCCCUGCUUCGGACCACUUUCCCUUUGUUGACUGCACCACCCCUGCCAUGCCUGGGUACUGGCAGUGACCUCCCCAGCUCAGCCCUCAACUUCCUUGGAACAGAGGCACCAACCCUAACUAGUGCCAGCCAGCUCAGACCCUUUCUUCAUACACUGCCUGGGACAUGGACUCUGUGACCAUGAGGCCUGCCCAGCUGCUUUCUGGCCCCCAGCGCUGACAACCUCGUCAUGAACCCUCCUGGACUCUCAGCUUCUGCAGUAGGAAGCCGGCUGCCAAAGACCAGGAGAGUCUCUGAAAACAGACAGUGCAUUAAAGAAAAAGCUCCUGGAGGAAGCCUGAAGCCGGAGGCAGCCUUGGGCCAGCAGUGGCUCCUGGUUUACAUUAGAAAAGUAAGGGAGGUUUGGGGUUUCCUGUUUUCUAAAUUCACGUUUUUACUUGGCAUUUUUGACACGUUUGUAUUUGAAACAUACUGAACAUCUAGUAUUGCUGUUUUCUACUUGGCUUUAGCAACAAGCAUUAAGCGAAUAAACUAUUCCACUCUCUUCCUUCCCGGGUUUGCUUCUGUGAUUCUCGGCCAGUGUUGGUCUGUUUCCAUUGCCAUUGAUCCUGCUUCCCUCAAUGGGGGGUUCAAUCAGUGUUUGUGGUUGGUUUGUUUUGAGACAGGGUCUUCCUGUCGCCCAGGCUGGAGUGGUGGUACUAUCACACAGCUCACUGCAGCCUUGAUCUUCCUGGCUCAAGCCACCCUCCUGCCUUGGCCUCCCAAGUAGCUGGGACUACAGGCUCACACCACCAUGCCCAGCUAAUUUUUAGUUUUUUUGUAAAGAUGGGUUCUCACUUUUGUUGCCCAGGGUGCUGUAGAACUCCUGGGCUCAAGUGAUGCUUGGCUUCCCACAAGUGUUGGGAUUAUAGGUGUGAGCCACUGUGCCUGGCUUCAUCUUUUUUUGUUUGUUUUGUUUUUUCAGGCAGAGUAGCACUCGGUCACCCAGGCUGGAGUGCAGUGGUACGAUUUUGACUCACUGCAACCUCCGCCUCCCGGGUUCAAGCGAUUCUCCUGCCUCAGCCUCCUGAGUAGCUGGGACUAUAGGUGUGAGCCACUACACCUGGCUAGCUUUUUUUUUUUUUUUUUUUGGCAUUUUUAAUGGAGACGGGGUUUCACCAUGUUGGCCAGGCUGGUCUCAAACUCCUGACUUCCUCCCACCUCAGCCUCCCAAAGUGCUGGGAUUACAGGCAUGAGCCACUGCACCUGACCUCAUGUGUUUUUAGUUAGCCAUUUUAUACAUGUUUACUGAACAUUGGCCCUGUGCCCAUAUUCUAAGUGCCUUACAUGUAUUAAACUUAUAUAACCUUCACAGCCC